UUUCUGCAGCAAGGCUUGCAAACUUCCCAUGGUUAUACCGUGUUUGCUAACUGGUCCUGGGAACUGAGCCUCAGCCCUGAGGAUUGCCAAAGCCAGCCAUUGCACUGGAGGAGAUUAAGAGCAGAGCUUCUGUCUUCAGCACGUUGCCUUUACUGUGGGUUAGGACCUAUGGUGCCUCCCUUCAUUUCCUGAGACCCAAGCAAUGAGCACAGAAUCAUUUCUAGUUACCAAGUACUGGGUGACUUCUCAGGCCAGUUCCAUUAAGUUUAAUGGAAAACUGUAUGCUGUGCCUUCUCUCCCAUCGUCUCAUGCCUGGGGUUGGGGUAGGAGCUCCUCAGAGAGAAGAACCCUGUGGAUCAAAGCAUUAGCCCAUUCCUCGGCAGAUUCUGAAGCGAUACCUCUGCACAGCCUCUUCAGGUACUAGGAAGGUGAGAGACAGAGACUUUGACUUGCUAUAAAUUGUCAUUCUUCAAUUCCUCACUCAGAAAAUUCAGUCUCAGUAUUUUUCUACUCUAAGUAUUUGGUUAGGGAGCUGAUACUAUCAGGAGAAAUAGUGUUUUAUGUGUUUAAAAA